AACGAACGCUGGCGGCAGGCCUAACACAUGCAAGUCGAACGCUCCGCAAGGGGAGUGGCACACGGGUGAGUAACGCGUGGGAAUCUACCUAUUAGUAAGGAAUAACAGUUGGAAACGACUGCUAAUACCUUAUACGCCCUACGGGGGAAAGAUUUAUCGCUAAUAGAUGAGCCCGCGUAAGAUUAGCUAGUUGGUGAGGUAAUGGCUCACCAAGGCUACGAUCUUUAGCUGGCCUGAGAGGAUGAUCAGCCACACUGGAACUGAGACACGGUCCAGACUCCUACGGGAGGCAGCAGUGGGGAAUAUUGGACAGUGGGCGAAAGCCUGAUCCAGCCAUGCCGCGUGAAUGAUGAAGGCCUUAGGGUUGUAAAGUUCUUUCGCCGCCGAGGAUAAUGACGGUAAGCGGAUAAGAAGCCCCGGCUAACUUCGUGCCAGCCGCCGCGGUAA
rnacentral:rRNA from 1 species